rnacentral:lncRNA from 1 species
CGCGAUGGGAUAAUAUCAACAAAUAUUACAUUUUUAAAGACAUAACAAAGGUACGAUAUAUUACAACCAUAGUUUGAAACAAACUUAAUAGUGCAGGUUAGCGUGGUUCUAAGAGUUUAAAACAUAAACCAGUCCGGAAGAAAAAUAAACUUCUAAGUUUUAUUCUAGAGUAUCAUGAGACUCAUAAGAUACCCUAGGUCUUCGGGGCUUCCUCUUCAGUGAGUCCCUGCUGGUCUUCUGAAAACAACAAAAAGGGAUCCCCUGAGUACGAAGUACUCAGCAAGUCUUACCCGACUAACCAAUAUAAUAUCUUUCCUUGGAAGUGUAUGCUUAGCUUUUUUUGGUGUACUUGGCUAAUGCAAUUUUUGCCGAAAAGCUUACUACAAGUGAUGCCUUAGUUUUAUCUUUUAUUUGGGUUGAGUCAUUACCUAACCAUUCUAGAUGAUAACAGAAGUAAAAGCAAUCACAACUGUUAAAUCAUACAUUACUUGACAACAGAAGAUUUUAUAUUGCAUGAAGUAAUACUACGAUGCUCAACAGCGAUCAAGUGCAUUCAUAACCGAGAAUUGCGGCGAUCCGGAUCUAAUUACAUCCUGCAGGAGAGUACCCUGAUCACCAGCAUUAUACGACUGUCCCGGUCGUAUCUAACAACCUCUCGAUUAGUAAAGUCAAUGAUUAGGAAUACGACUACCCGGACCCAGGGAUGCACCCCCACAUGGGACCCCACGUCUGGCCCGAUCUCCAUGUGAGUUUCAGGCUACACCCCUGCCAAUCUCCAGCACGUCAAGCGCGGGUACGAAGCAUUCCUGAUCAUAGAAUUUACUAAUCUACUGGGCUUUACUGGUCCCAUACCCAGUAAGUGAUCAGAUGCUUAUCACUUGACCAACAGUUAAGACACGAAUCGGGCCUUAACCAAAUUAAUCUAGCAGACAGAACUACAUCUCUAGCUUCUGUCCCUUUCCAUAUUCCAACUAUCCUUCAUAAGCAACAUGUAUGACUUAAGAGUUUUCCUUAAGGUCGAUAAACCAAGCAUGUAAGCAAGUAAGCAAUUCUAAACUUGGGUAGUUUCUAAGAUUUGAACAAGUGGCAAAGAUGUCCUUAAGUCAAGGCAUGAUCAUACACAAGAAUAGGUUUCAAUCAACUCCUAGACUUAGUGCAUACAAUAAGCAAAUAACCUAUGACUAGUCACAUGAAAUAACGACUCCAAAAUAGAUAGGUAUAAAUGCACCGGGGCUUGCCUGGGAUCAACAAAGGUUAGUUCUUCGGAAAACUUCUUUAUUAAAAGAGGCACUCCACAUUUCGCGAACGCUAUCCAUCUCCAGCUGAAUUCCAUAAAUUCCCACUUCAGGAGUUGUGCCGCCUACGAUUUAGUAUAUGCAAGAGUUAGAGAUGCAAAACUUUUAAAUACAAGACUAUACAACUUUCCUUCAUGAUAAAGUUGCAAGCCAACAAGGACUAUACAAUUUAUCAUGAUAAAGUUGCAAGCCAACACACAAAAACCCUAAAGAUUAACCCACCAUUUUUAUUUCCUUUACUAAACCUACCUUAGACCUCUUCUUUUAUUUUUAAAAGCAUUAUAAUAAUUUUCUAAUCUCAAAAACCUAAUUCCUAUGAAUUACUAAUGAUUUGUGGAUAAUAAAGCAUUUUUCAAGUUUUAUACAUUUAAUAAAGUUUAAGCAUUUAUUUAAAUACCUUAAAUAAAAAGGCAUUAAAUAAAUACCUAAAUUUUUAUUAUUUUUCCUAGGGUUUAAGAAUUUUAAUGCAUAAAGGAAAAUAAAACAAUCCUAAUAAAAUUGGUUUCACUAAUUUUGGGCACUUCUAGAAUUUCCUGUGAAUUAAAUGGUGAAAACAGCAUUUAAUCUAUUUAUCUAAUAAAAGAAAACCUAAGGUUUAAUAAAAACCCCCGGCCCAAACUUUUCUCACUCGGCUUGCUUCUACCCACCAUCACUUCCAGCUAGGGUCCAUCCGGUCUCCUAUUCUUCUUCUUCUUUUCUUCAUUGACAAGUGGGGCCCACGGCCGAAAUCUUCCCUUGGGCCAAAAGGUGGCCCGCCAACUCAACCUUCCACGCGUGGCCUUUUUGCGGCAGCCUUCUCUUUGGGCCGGCUCCCCCUUCUCUUCUUUUUCUCAACCCCGGCCGGCCCACCUUCUUUCUCCUUCACUUCUACCUGGGCUGCACGGCCCAAGCAACAUGACCGGCCUGCUCUUUCUUACAUGCCGACGGCCUAACUCCCUCCCUUUCAACCACCCGCCGGCCCUCUCUGUUCUUCGGCUAGCUGGGCCAUCGCCUCCCCUUGGCCCACGAUGGGCGGCCGGCUUUCUUUCUCCCUCUCACUCCCACCUGGGCCUCUCCUACCGCACACUGGCAACACGGCCCAAGCGCACAGACCGGCCUGCUUCUUUCCCUUCUUCUUCUAUGCCGCGCGGGCUUAGCUGGGCCGGCGUCUCUCUCUCGGCCCAAAACGGCGGUUGGCCUUUCUUCUUCUCCUUCUUCUCCUCACAACCCCCUGGCGCAUCUUCUUCCUUGCGCCAAAACAGGGGCACACGCCGGCGGACAAAACGGGACGGGGUCCCGGCCAACGGCGGCUUGCCGGCGGCCGAGCCGACCGGGGCGGCGGCACCCCAGGCCAGGCGCACCUGCGCCCACCGCCAGCUCGCCGGGAGGCGGCCCGAGCCGGCCCCUCCACGGGCGGCUGCGGCUUGGCCAACCGCCGGCCAUGGCGGCGCACGGAGGCGGCACGAGGACGACCGGCGGCGCACUCUAUGGCAUCCAUAUGACCCAAGCACCCCCCUAAACCCGAUCAAACGAGUGAAAGAAGGGGCGGUGCGGAGGGCUCACCGGAGGACAGUGGUGGUGGCGGGCGGACCGGUACGGCGGUGAUUCGGAGCUUCGACGGCGAGGAAUUACUGAACGGAGCAGCGUGGGGCGUUGAGGAGGAGCUGACGGAUUCUUGGGCGGAUGGAAUUGCAAAGAGGGGCGGCGGCGUGGGUGAAUUUGGCUGGCGGCGGUACUGAUUUGCUUGAGCUCGGUUCCUGGCGAUGUAAGCGGCGGAAUGAAACGGAUAAGCGCGGGGAUAGCGAUGUCGUGGUCUUUCACCGUGCAUGCGUGCCACCUUGACAACCUGAACGAGCGCGGACGUGGCCGUCGUGCUGGCCGGUCGUGCGCGAGAGCCGGCGGCGGCACGGCACUGCCGCGCUGCUCUGUUUCUGCUGCCUUCUCCCCUUUAUCUCCUCCCAAUUUACAGGUUUAAGCCUCAAAAAUCGGCAGAUCCAAACCCAAUCUCUCGAACAUCCCUUAAACAAUCUUGUAGAGUAAUCCGAGCACUACAUUUGAUAGAUUGGCCUCCAACCGAAUUAAGCACCCUAAGGUCGAGAUUUCGGAGCUCCAAGUUUCUGUCAGCUGGUACUGUUACUGAAUUUUAGCGAUUCAGUUCGACAGUCUUCAAAGGUGGUCGUUUACCCUUCUUUAGCACCAAUUUCAGUAGCCCAAUUGUAUUCCAUAUAGGCCAACCACUCCCUAUUUGUGUUCUACAACUAAUAAGGAUUCCAUUUUGCACCAAAAACUGUAUAACCUUUGCACUGGAUUUUCCAAAAAUUCGCUCCAAACAUCGCUAGUUAACACUGUUUUCAGACUUAGAUUUUAUGCAGCUUCGAGAGUUGGCCGAAAUAGCUAGAGUGCUGACUUUGAGCUUUGAUUUAAAUUUGAUUCUUUCGCUAUCUCUUAGCAACAACACCUUAUUAAACAUGUCCAAGGAUCAUACUUCACCGCUGUCUAGUUGCCUUUGCUCACUUACUUGAAAAAUUGGGCAGAAUUCGGUUUCAAAAAUAGAUACUCAUCAUGUUUUCCAGACUUAGAAUUAAUUCGGCAAGGAGCUCGAAAUCUGCUCAAUUGCUGAAUUUUGGCUCCAAUUUGAAUUCAAACCUUCCACUUUCUCUGGACCACAACUAUUCAUUUACCUUCUCCAUAGUCCAUAUUUCACUAAUGUUCAAAAACAUCUGCUCACUUUUAAGGAAAUUUCUCCAGAAAUUGGUUCUAAAAUCAUGUACUCAAUACCAUUUUCAGACUUAACCAAAUUCCAGCAAAGCUGUCUAUUGUGACAAAGUGCCAACUUUAGGCUUCCAUUUGAAAUAGUUCCCUCUGCUAUUCCUGAUCAACAACACCCAAAUUUAGGAGUCCAAAGUUCAUACUUCAACAUGGUAUAGUUAUCCUGAUUUACUUAUUUGAGAAAUUUAUCAGAAUUCACUUUCCGAAAUGGACUCUGAGCUGUUUUUCUGAUUUCUUGUUUUCGGACGGUGAAUAGUAAACGUAGCUUUUCAUUUCCUUCUCUGAUUUCCUUUGAGUGUUUAGGAUCAAAUAUUAUUCCAAAUUUUUGACCCUUAAGUUCUAAUCAUCUUUACACUUCCACUCUAUAUUUUCGCCGAAUUUUUCUGAAUUUCAAAUUUAAAAUUCAAAUUUCGGCCAAAUUUGACCCGAAUUUGAUUUUCGGUCAAUUUCUUUUUCCUUCCUUCUCGAAUUGCUUCCAACUCCUCCAAGUCACUUUGAUGACUAAAAUGGCGGGUGUUACAGCCCCUCCCCCUUAACAGAAUCUCGUCCCGAGAUUCUCGGAGUUAAUUCCUCGGUUUUGAGAAUGGAAAGGAAACUGCGUCAGGUUAACCAUUCCUUCUUUUUCUGUACAAGGAUAGUGGGGGUGGUGGCUUUUUGUUCAUCUGUUCCUGAUAGUUCCAAAUAAUUCUGGAUAUUUAGACUCUAGGUCUUCAGCCUGCCUCAAGUAGCUUUAUCUGGAGCAUGAUUCUCCCAUGGCACCUUGUAGAAUCUGAUACUCUUAGUUCGAGUAUUGUUGGUCUUCCGAUCCAGAAUUUUCUUACGGACCAAUAUAUAUUUCGGAGCUAAUUUUCCUUUGACUCCAAAUCGGUGUACUCCUUUCAUCGGGGAUACUCCGAAAUGUACAAAGUCUCAAAAUAAAAUUCUAAAGAUCCUCUUCUUUUAUCCGAAUAAGUUUUCUGUCAUGACUAAGUUAUUUCAAGGUUCGUACAAUUCUUCUGAACUUUUUCCUCAACUUUAAAUGACUAGAUGUGAUUCCAAAUGUGCUCUUUCUCUUGAUUCCGACUAAAUUAAAAAGCAAACAUUCUUCCCGUUUCUGCUAGAGGCAAACAUUCUUCCCAUUCUUCAAGAAGGUGAGAACACAGGCUCAAAAUGUAUCUUCCAAGGUUUGAUUUACUUUUUCCGUCUAAUCAAGCAUCCUUUGCUUCUUAAUAAGGGUAGUUUCCAAUUGUCUCAUGCAUUUAUUCCUAGAAUUCAGAGACGAAUUGAGAAUCUCAAUUAAAGACAAUUGUCUUGGGUAUUCCAGGUAACGAUACUACCCGAGACAUAUAAAGUUCCACAUAAGCUGACAUACGGUAAGCGGUCUUGACAAGAAUGAAAUGAGCCGAUUUAGUGAGUCAAGCUAUGAUAACCCAUAUGAAAUCAUACCCCCUUGAGGUAGUAGGAAAUCCUACCGUAAAAUCCAGGGAAAUGUCUUCCUACUUCCAUUCAGGAAUGGUGAAGGGUUGCAAUAAGUUGACCGAUUUCUGAUAUAUAGCUUUCACCUUUUGACACGUAUCACAUUCAGAUACAUACUUGGCUAUUUCCUUUUUCAUUCUUGUCCACCAAAAUCAUUGCUUCAUGUGUUAAUACAUCUUAAUACUGCCCGGGUGCAUAGAGAAUCCAAUUAACAAGCUUUAUCUAAGAUCUCUUUUCUCAAGCUCAUCUUCUUGAGUACUAUUAUUCAGUUUUUGAAAUAGAACACCCUCUUUUCAUCCUGGUAAAACAAGUAACAUCACCUUAGCUUACUCAUUUCCGAAGUAUUCUUAUUCCUUUGUCCUUCCUUUGAGCUUGUUCUAUCUUUCUCUUUAAGGUAUCUUACAAGAUAAGGUUAUGCAGGGUACAUUAGUUUUGUGCGGAUGAUAAAAUCUCUAGUUUAUAAUCUUUGAUCAGUUUCAGCCAUCUCAUGCCUUAUUUUCAGAUCUUACUUCGAUAGCGUCCGGCUAUUCUAAGAAAACUCCUUACUUCCUGAACAGUUAUUGGUGACUUAUGUCCUUGACCUUUCCAGGAUCCACUUCAAUUCCUUACUCGGACAAAACAUGCCUAAUGAACAGAACCUUCUUUAGCCAAAACUCAUACUCACUAAAUUUGGCAUAUAAUCAAUGCUCCAGAAGCUAUCCAAAUCAAUGCGCAAAUACCCCACAUACUCUUCUUUAUUCUUGUUCAUCAAAACCUUUGCUUUAAAGCUUGACACAUCUUACUAUUCUCAGGAUUCCAUGCAAAUUCAACUUUUUUAGAAACUCGUGAAUAUCCGUAUAAUGCUCACGUCCCUUCCUUUUAGUUAAGGAACUUCUUUCGAAUAGACUUUUGACCCAAUCUUUGGCAUGAAAUCUGCGCUUUCUCAUUCAUAUUUUUCCCCCUUUCUUUUGAAAAUGGAGAUUUCUGACGAAACCAGUCCUUCCAUAGUUAUGUUAUAAUACAGCUGUAGAAUUGCAAAGAUAGUGGUGCUUUACCCUUUCAGGUACUCAUGGGUUCGUCGAACAGGGAGUAUUUUCUGGGUUCUGGAUAACCCAUGACUGCUAGGAUAAUUGUCAUUGGGGCCUAUAAGUAGAUCUAGCAGAUUCUUAGUAGACGACCUUCAGCUCCUGAGGAAUAUUUCCAGAUGCUUCAAAAGAAAUGUCCUCUUAUUUCAAGGGGCUUGUCCAAGCUCUCAUCUUUUCUGGGGAUUACUAUGUUCAUGGCAGAGCUAUAAUCUGUAAAAAUUACUGGGGAACAAGUCCUUUUCUCAGACUCAGUGUUCAUAUAUUCGGGAGCAUAUUGUGUCAGAUGGUCGAAUGCGCUUAGAUAUUCCCGGACACUCUUGUGUCUAUGCUAAACUUUGUAGAAGUUGUUCCAGCUGCACUCUUAGAAUCCUUUUUAGCAGAAACUGGGUACAAAUAAUUGUCUUGAAAUUUUCCCCAGCUAUCUCCUUUCUGACGGAUCGCCUAACCAGAUAGCUGGUCCAUCAUGUGCCUGUGGGACCUUGGAGUUAAAGUUCCGCGAACUUAAUCUUUUGAGUUUCCGCAUAUCGAAGAAUCACACAUGUAUUCAUAACAUAUAUAAUGUUUAGAAUUGCGUGUAAUUCUGCAAUAAUUUGUCUUAUGUUUAUACAGUGAUUGGAGGCUGACAUGUGCAGGAAAAUGUCACUCUUAGCAGUUUUAACAAGCAUGAGUAGACUGCGUUAUCUUCUUCCAAAUCUGCUUCAGAAAACUCUCGGCACUCUUUUUAGAGUUGAACAUCAAGGAUAUGAAGUAUCUGGUCUGGAAAAUUCUUCUCGAUGAAGAUUAUAAUGCUCACUCCAUUGCAGAAUACAGGAUCUACUAGCUUUCUUCCUGUUAGUGUCUCUGCCAGCAAUACUCCACAAUUGUACACAUCUCCUCAGAGCUUUACAUUCUGACAUAAAACUUCCAUUGGUGUCUUAUAUGUUCAUGUCAAAAAAAAAAACCUUCACAGCCAAUAACCUGGUUUUACCUGGAUUAACUUUUCUCCGUAAACUGAACUAUAGCUUCCUUUCCUAAUUAAAGACUCUGUGAAUUUCUCAGUAACCUGAAUUCAGUCUUUGUAGAAAACUUUACCGAAGCUCUUAGUAAAAGAAACCAACGGUGAUUGCAUUAUGAAGGACUUUCUCUAUUGAAGUAUAAGACAUCACGAUAAUAUGAUUAGUGCCACAAAACCAACGAUGGGGAUACAUAUUUUAACCCAAAAUUUUUAAUCUUGCUGUAUGCAAAGAAACAACAUCACAUGCGGGUAUAUGCAGCUCACAUACUCCGCCGCAAAGACCUUGAUUGCCAUCGAGUGCAACAGCUGUAAUCUUUUUGAACCACUCGGCACUCUUCCCAGGAGAUGACUGCGGGGCGAAUUUAACGGACUGAGAGCUUGUAGAUCACAUAGAGCAACUGGGAUAGUAUCUAUCCAAUUGUUGUGUGAAAGGUUAAGAAUAGUGUCUCCCUCAAAAGUUGGUGGUUUUGAUACUGCUUUAAUUCCCAAACAACCACGUUAAUUCCCUGUACUUUGAAUGUCCCUGUUUAGCAGUCUAGCCUGCUUCGCUCUUGAAUUCAUAAGACUAGCAAUAACAUUAAUCCGGGUAAGAAUUUAUGGUGGCUCUACAUCACGGAUUCUGACCCGGAUUAAAUGUAUCCACUUGGGUCCGACAUUCUGGGGUCACAAAGAUCCAACAGACCGAAACUCAUUAAACUUCCUCUUGUUCUUUUAAUAUCAUUAUUCCCUGUAUUUUGUAAACCUUGGUAUAUGUCUCUCUUAAACAAUCCUCUCAACAUUGUCCUUAGCUAAACAGAUGAUUAGGUUCCAUAUGACUCUUCCUAAAUUUUGUCCAUUUCCAUACCGAGACUAUCCAGAUUCUCAUAAACAUGCAGAUUUACUUUUUAAGAUGCCAGUUCAAUUAUACCCAUAUUGUUACCCACAAUAUCCUUCUUUCCUUUCGCUACAACCGGGACGAACAGAUGUUGCCUUUGCUUUCAGGGUUUUCUGAUAUAUCUCCGAGGCAUCCGGAUCAAUAGAUUCCUGGGCUUGUGUCAAUUGACCUCAUAUUUAUCCAAUUUCUUUAACCACUUUUCUCAUAUCUUUUCCCAUAUUACGAUCUCGUGCAAGAGCUGCCUUCUUACUUACAUCCAAAUUAUAUGGAGUAUCAUUUUCCCUCAUUCUUAAACCUUCAUUCCUUUCUCUCUAAUAAUAUUACUAGAACAGGCGUGUUGAUGAAGAGUAUUUAUUGAAGUCUUUUAAUCUCAUGAAGUGACUGCAGUAACGUCGUGCUCCGUUUGAGAAAAUCCUUCAAACCUUUAUACAAUGCUUUCAAUAUUAUGGUCCUGAUUUCUGAUCCCAUAACUCUUGUCAGACUGGAUCCAAUUUAUUCCUUAUUUUUCUCACACCAGACAGUCUAAGUUGUCCUAAUUGCUUACUCAAAUAAGAUUUGGUGUCCAUCCGUCUGUCUUGAUCUUCUCUUCCGCAGUUUUCUAUUGCAUCGACCCCCUUACUACGUCUAGCUUCUACUACACGGGACGGGUUUAGGUCUAACGGCACUCUCCAAACCCAAAAGUUUUGAAACAUGCAAUGCAAACAUGAUGCAACGAUUCCUACGUACUUUCAGACUCAUAUACACACUCGUAGAAAAAUUGGUGGCAUCGUAAUCUCUCCCUAAAUAAUAGACUACCGAAUACUAGCGACACGCAGCAAACAGUUAGCAUCUGCAAAAUAAACAACCAAUUAACACUACUGCCACCUGUGACUCACAUUUUCUUAUUUUUAAAAUAGAGUCUCAGUUUUUAAAUGGUAAUAUCUGUUGAUUAUCCCAACCUACGGCUCUGAUACCAGCUGUGGCGGAACCGCCCAACUUAAGCUGGUUUAAGCGCGCCUAAUCGCUGUCGGAACAGCAAUUAUCCGAAACGCACCUAAAACAGCAUAAGUCCGGUAGUCCGUCGAGUAUCCCUAGGACUCCUCGAAGGAUCCACGACGUGUCUCAUAGCCAUACAUCAGGAUAAUAUCCGCGAUGGGAUAAUAUCAACAAAUAUUACAUUUUUAAAGACAUAACAAAGGUACGAUAUAUUACAACCAUAGUUUGAAACAAACUUAAUAGUGCAUUUAAGCGUGGUUCUAAGAGUUUAAAACAUAAACCAGUCCGGAAGAAAAAAUAAACUUCUAUGUUUUAUUCUAGAGUAUCAUGAGACUCAUAAGAUACCCUAGGUCUUCGGGGCUUCCUCUUCAGUGAGUCCCUGCUGGUCUUCUGAAAACAACAACAAGGGAUCCCCUGAGUACGAAGUACUCAGCAAGUCUUACCCGACUAACCAAUAUAAUAACUUUCCUUGGAAGUGUAUGCUUAGCUUUUUUUGGUGUACUUGGCUAAUGCAAUUUUUGCCGAAAAGCUUACUACAAGUGAUGCCUUAGUUUUAUCUUUUAUUUGGGUUGAGUCAUUACCUAACCAUUCUAGAUGAUAACAGAAGUAAAAGCAAUCACAACUGUUAAAUCAUACAUUACUUGACAACAGAAGAUUUUAUAUUGCAUGAAGUAAUACUACGAUGCUCAACAGCGAUCAAGUGCAUUCAUAACCGAGAAUUGCGGCGAUCCGGAUCUAAUUACAUCCUGCAGGAGAGUACCCUGAUCACCAGCAUUAUACGACUGUCCCGGUCGUAUCUAACAACCUCUCGAUUAGUAAAGUCAAUGAUUA